GGCUGGGAGACCUAGCAGGCUGAUCUGCUUUAAGUCUACACUUUACUUGAAUAAAGCAUUAGAACUGAUCCCUCUGGCAUUUUUGACACCCUUCUUUGGUAUCCCUUCACCCAACAACUCACAUGAGCCCUCCUUUGGGGCAGUGGAUCACCCUUUUUCUGUUUCUUUUUUGCAGACACUGGCUGCAAGGGGUGAUUUCUUCCAUGUGCAUCUGAUACCUGCUAAAUGUAGGCUUCUAUUCUCAUUUUCCUGUCAGCUGAUGGGGAAGCAUUUUGCCAGGACUUGAGCUUGGGGCUUCCCAGGCACUUGGGAACCCCACAUAAGGGAUUUUGACAGGUGGGGUGAGACAACCCCCUUCUCAACUGUGAUGUCCUAUUGAAAACAUAUGCUCAACAGGUAGGUUGUUCCCAAUGCCUGAGAUCACAGAAUUAACCGUUUUGGGUGGUAUCUUCUUUGAAAUGAAUGUCUCCUUAAGAUAUGCCAAGAUACAUUUAAUUACAUCUGGGAUUAUCUCCAGUUAAAGUGUUGAUUUCCAACCUGAUUAUGGAUCAUGGAAUCUGCUUACUCAGGUUCCUAAAAGAAAGAGGGCUGUGCCAAACACAUAAUUCCCCGUUUCUAUUAAACUGUUUUUUGAACUAGAGUUCAGGUAAAUAAAUAAUAUAAUAGGUUUUCCUUUAAUAUAUAUUUGAAGUCCCCCAGCAAUUUAAAUGUAGAACAUCUUCCAUGCAGUGGAUGAAUUUUGGGGUGGGGGAGAAAGACACC